rnacentral:rRNA from 1 species
AAUGAACGUUGGCGGCGUGGAUUAGGCAUGCAAGUCGAGCGAGAACCGUCGCAAGAGGGGACAGCGGCGCAAGGGACAGUAAUGUGUAGAUAUCUGCCCUCAGGUCCGGGAUAGCUGCGGGAAACUGCAGGUAAUACCGGAUGAUAUCUCCGGAUCAAAGGUGUGAUUCCGCCUGGAGGAUGAGUCUGCAUCCUAUUAGCUAGUUGGCAGGGUAAUGGCCUACCAAGGCUUUGAUGGGUAGCGGGUGUGAGAGCACGACCCGCGUCAUUGGGACUGAGACACUGCCCAGACACCGUACGGGUGCUGCAGUCGAGAUCUCGCAAUGGCGCAAGCCUGACCGAGCGACGCCGCGUGUGGGAUGAAGG